GACGAACGCUGGCGGCAUGCUUAACACAUGCAAGUCGAACGGAGUGGCGAACGGGUGAGUAACACGUGGGUGAACUGCCUUGCAAUUCGGGAUUAGCUUGGGAAACUGGGUCUAAUACCGGAUAGUGCAAGAUGAGCUCGCGGCCAAUCAGCUUGUUGGUGGGGUAAUUGCCCACCAAGGCGCAGACGGGUAGCCGGCCUGAGAGGGUGUACGGCCACAUUAGGACUGAGAUAGGGCCCAGAUGGCUACGGUGGGCAGCAGGGGGGAAUAUUGCACAAUGGGCGGACGCCUGAUGCAGCGACGCCGGGUGGGGGAUGAAGGCCUUCGGGUUGUAAACUCCUUUCGGCAGGGACGCGGUACCUGUAUAAGAAGCACCGGCUAACUACGUGCCAGCAGCCGCGGUAAUUC
rnacentral:rRNA from 1 species